AAAAGAUUUAGUAUACGUUGAAUUCCAACUUGUUUGAAGUACAUUGUAUAUCAAGUUUAUUAAAGACGUGGUCGGUUGUCAGUCUGUCAUAGAAGCAUAAAUACACACAAGACGAAGUGCGUCUGUUCCUGGGAGAACGACAGAGAAAAUGUUCCGAGCACAUUCGGUUGAAAUUUGGACCCCGUCGAGUUUAGAACCUUUGCGGUUUCUUUGUAAAAGGCAUUACUGUUGCACACAUUUGAAAGCGAUUCAUUCUAAGAAGUUACAAAUCCGUUACGUAAAUAUUCCGUUGAGAACUUCCAACAAUGCAUUUAUGAUUAGCUGUUUAAACUCAGACAACUACCGUUACUACACUCAGAGUUUCGAGGAGUCCGCCAUUGUUAAUGAGGUGUCAUGUCGAUUCGCCUCCGUUACAAAAACACACGACUGAACUUCAAUUUGUCAAUUAACUUAAUGUUAAGCAAUAAUGAAAAUAUUUACUUUAAAACAUUAAUGCGAAUUAUAGAAAUAAAGUAUGAAAGAAUAUUUAAUUGAGUGUAAAUUAUUUUUUAAGUUCCAAAACCUUGAGGGUUCAAAAACGGAGGGGGUUGAAAUUUAACAGACACAAUUUGUGUAAACCGAACGAUAUUAAAUCGUACGUUUCUUCAAUCUCUGAAAAUAUAAUAAUGAAAACUUAAGCAUUUUAUAAUUAGUUUCAUUUAAAGAUAUUUUUUUAUUAUUAUUAACAUAUGUUAAAAACAAAUUAUUUUACCAAAUGAAAGAGUCUCAGAAUACACAGUCAGCGAGUUGUUUUGAUUCUAUUACGUCACUUCCGCCCAGUGAUUACGAAUUUUGAAUGAAAGCAGAUGGAUCUUCAACAUGAGCGAUGGAUUAAUUAAGUAUGGAACAUGCAAGAAGAUAAUGCAGCAGAUGUAGUUCAAAGUAAUGGUAUUAAAGAAUUAUGCAGUGAAACCAGAAUAUUGGACACCCCUAAAGAUAGUGAUCAUUGAACAUAAAUUUCAUACAGAAGAGGUACAACUCUUCUGCCACCGAAGGGGCUAUAUGUGAAGCCUGAAGAAUUGCCACCAAGAAGUAUUGUCACCAAGACACUUUGGGUUUGUAGAAAAUAAUCAUUUAAAGGAUGGAGCAUUUUACCUACCAUGCAGUAAAUGUACAUUGCAAUAUAUGGAAUACAAGUGAAAUCAACAUGAGCAAAGGCAAGGAAGAUGCAACAAAGGAAGAUUUCAUAAAGAACAUAUUGAUAGUUAUCAACUAGUAAUAAUAUUCUAAUGUCGCUUAUAUUUCAAAUCAUUGCAUAUUGGUAUGUCAAUUCUAAUAUUGUAACAUUCCUUUAAAGCUAAUGAGUUAGCAUUGAUAUCAUUACUUGUUUUUUAAAACAACUUAUUAAACUUACUGAUUAUUUAAAGUGAUAGUCAGUACAUAAGAAUUAUGUGAUACUUAAGAUAUUGUCUCAUUAUUCUUCAAUUUAUCAUAAUAAAGUAUUUUAUAUUUGAUUUCUUAGGAGAUUUUACCUUUUUAUAUACAAAAUGUAGAAGGUAAGA